UUUCUCUCUCUACCGCCGGCGGCUCUCUCUCACUUCUCUCUAACCCUUCAGCUCACUUCCUUCUCUCUUUCUCUUUCGGUUGGAAGUAAUGAGAAUCUCCCAAUCCCAAAAAAGGAAAUCAACUUUCUCUCCCUCACACUGCCAGAACCUUCCUUUCACCCUCACAAGUCACUCCCCAACCGAACCCAUUUCCUAGAUCUCCCUCUUUGUAAACAUUGGAGUUUUGUUUUGAUGCUUUUUUGCUUUUCUUCUAUUUUUUUGCCUUUUUGGUUGUGUUAUCUUGGGUGUGGUAUCCGGAUGCUAGAUUAAAAAGUUAGACGUUUUUGCUUCUAGGUUUUAUCUCUUUUCUGGAGAUUUUUGUUGAUGGAAUCUACAGCUUGAGGGAAUCUAUGUUUAGUUUUUUUAUAUGUAAACACCCUUUUCCAUCAUAAGGUUAAAAUUUUUUUGUUCUUUGUUUGAGAUGGAUAUCAAACCCUAUCUUCAUGAACACCACUUGCUUUAUGAUGACUACAGUGAAUCAAAGGCUCUUUGUAAUAUAUGCAAUAAGAAAAUGGAUGGUUUGUCUUAUUAUUGUGAAAGAUGCGAGUUCUGGUUGCAUAAUAGCUGCGUUCAUCAACAGCUACCUCUUCAGAUAAGUGCACAUCCUCUCCAUUCCCAACACAAUCUUAGUCUCUUAUGGUCAAACCACAUAGAUUACAUAUGUGCUAAAUGUUUCAAUCUUUCUCGAGGUCACAGGUACCAUUGCAAAGAUUGUGAUUUUAGCCUUGAGUAUCAAUGUGCUUUUUCAACCAAUGAUGAGAAAAAUAGACUCAGUGAUAACACAUCCAAAAAAAUUGGUCGUUUCAACAAGUCGUUGACCCUCUUUAACUAUAGGAGAGUGAGAAAGUAUGAGCAUAUAUGUAGUUGGUGUGAGAACCAUUUGUCUGGAAUGUCGUAUGGUUGUCUUAACGAUGGUGUUUAUAUCUGGUUCCAUGAAUCCUGCCUAAUCAACAUGCCUAGCAUAAUCUUCAAACACCCAUUCCAUCCAUUACACCCUCUUUCAUUAAGCAACAUUCAUUUUGAUAAUGGAUUGUGCCAUGCUUGCAACCUACCAAUAUGGGAGUUCAGAAAAGCCUAUUGUUGUAGAAAAUGUAAAUUCCUCCUUCAUGUGCAUUGUGCCAAACUACGACCCAGUCUCAAGGUUGAGUUACAUGAGCAUGAUCUUACUUAUUUUCGAAUAAAAGCAAAUAUCGCUACCCACCUAUGCAGGAUAUGUGGUUUUAAUUUUGAUGCUUUAGGGAGAGAAAGUGUGUUUUAUCGUUGUGUUCAGUGUAAUUUCAAUUACCAUUUCAAAUGUCUUACAAUACCACAUUCUACUUCACACAAGUAUCAUAGGCAUGACCUUGUGCUUAUGGAUUCAUUUAUAGAAGAUUUAUCUGAAGAAUAUUAUUGUGAUAUAUGUGAAGAAGAAAGAAAACCCAAGCAUAGUGUUUAUUGUUGCAAGGAAUGCAAAUUUAUUGCUCACAUCGAAUGUGCACUCAAAAAGGCAAGGAAACAUUAACUCUCUCUCUCUCUCUCUAAAGAAAUUUAAUAAAUGUUUUUUUCAUUAGAUAAACUAUUAAUUAUUUGAUCAUAGAUCACAUAUAAUGUGCCAUUUAGAAAAAUUUUGAUGCUAAUAUUUUCACUUCCUCAGGUUGUAGAUGUAAAACUUGAUCAAUGUUUGACCUCUAGCUUGUUGGACAGCGAAGCUUCAACAUUGAAGGUGAUGGAAUUGGGUCUUUUAUAUUGAUAUUAUUGUGAUGUUUUCACUUGCCAAUAAUGUUUUUUUUUUUUAAGUUUACAUCACUUGAGGUCUUCUAUGAUUCCUUGGAUUUAUAUAUUUUAAAGAUUUUGUAGUAAUAAACACUAUUUAUUUUUUUGAAUAAAAUUCAAUAAAAAAAUAAAAAAUGUAAAUAAUAUAGGUAAGAAACCUCUACUUAUAUAACAGUAUUCAAAAUUAAUUUGGAGAUGGCUUUAGUAAAAAUAUUGAAUGCUGAAUAAAAUAAAAACACAUACGUGCAUCAUGUUAAUUUCUGAACAUAUAUAUUUGAUUAUUUAGUUAUUGCUUCCAUAGUUUAGUUUUAUCUUAAAUUUUCAUUUCUUUUACUUUUUAAACACAAUUAACAAGUAAAUUUUACUCUUAAUUUUGAGCUAUUUGUAAUUUUUUGUUUUCAUUCACCAUUUUGAAUUUGUUUCAAAACCAUCUGUAUAUUAACAUGCCAAUAAAAUAUAGAUAGAAUUUGUCACGUAAAUUCCACAUAUUAUGUGAAUUUCGUGAAUGUAGUCACAUGGACAUAAAUGUAGUGCUUAGAUGGCAAAUCCGUUCCAUAUUUAAUAGUGUAUUGAUGGAUUGAUGAAUUUAAAAUAAAUUCCAAAAGACGUAAAUGGAAAAAAUUGAGUUUGUUUAGUCAUAAAUGAAAAUAAAAUAUUAUGACAAUUUUACAAAAUAAGGAUGCACUUUACUUUAAAAAUGGAGGAAGAUUAAUAACUUUCUUCAUUCGACUUGGUUGGGCAGGUGCAGAUUGAACAUAUUGAUCAUCAGCAUCCCUUGAGCUAUAAUGAGUCUAUUGAACAAAGCGAAAGUCUUCUUUGCAAUGCUUGUCGUCAAGAAGUUUUUGAUCAACACUAUGCUUGUGAAGAUUGUAAAUAUUACUUACAUGAAAAGUGCACUACAUUGCCGUAUGAGGUGUCACACCCUCUUCAUUGCCAGCAUCCUCUCAAGCUCUUCACGGAUAUAGUUGAAUUUACAUGUCAUGCGUGUAGAGACCAUUCUGGUGGGUUUGCUUACAUGUGCCUUCCAUGUGAUUUCCAACUUGAUGUGAAAUGUGCUACCUCUCCAAUCCCACCUAAAAAUGAGGGGCAAAAGCUGAAAGAGAUGGAGAAAGUUUUCAAGUUGUGCCCUUUCAAUCAAAAUCAUAAGCUAGACUUCUUCAACCGUAGAUCCAAUCUCAAAGAUUUGGCUGUGGAAUGCAAUGCUUGCAAGCUACCAAUCUUGGGUCCAGGUUAUACAUGUCUUGAUUGUUUCAAUAUCAAAAUUCAUGAAUCUUGUCUUGCACUUAUGCGGGAGAUGCAGCUCAACUUUCAUCCAUUACACCUCCUUCAUCCACAAAUUGGCGAUUGGGAAAAUUGUUUUGCCUGUAGAUUUAAAAUCAUUGAAAGUAUCGAUUAUAGUUGUCGACAGUGUGAUUUUCACCUUCAUCUUCAUUGUGCUAAUUCCCUGAAGCUGGCCUUAAAAAUUAAGUCUCACGUGCAUAAUCUCUAUUAUUUUGGACCAGAUUAUGAGAAAUCCUACCAAUUAUGUAACAAAUGCAAAAGUUACAUUGGUAAGGAACCUUUCUAUUAUUGCGUGGAGUGCAAUAUGAAUUUGCACUUAAAAUGUGUUCCCAUACCAUGUUCAGUUAAAUCCAAAUGUCACAUGCAUCGUUUGACUCUUAAAGAUCAUUUUGUGGAAGAUGAUUCUGGAGAAUACUAUUGUGACAUUUGCGAAGAAGAAAGGAACUCAAAAAAUCAUUGCUAUUAUUGUGAAGAGUGUGCUGGACAAUUUGUUGCUCAUAUCGAGUGCGCGCUUCUUACAGUAAGUUUAUCACUAUCAUUUUCUCUGUAGAAGUUUUUUAUACCAUAUUUUGAAUUUUUAAAGGAAAAUAAAAAUCUAAGUUACACAUCACAUGAUCGUAUCCACCACUUCUUUGAUUGAUUGGACUUUAUUAAUGGUUAAAGUAACUCAUAAGUUCAUAUAUUAUAGAUUUUUCAUUAAUUUAAACUUUUUACCCAAAAGUGGUUAAUUUAGUCUUUAUACUUUCAGAUUUUAUGUAAUGGACUAAGUUUGCUUAGCUUUAUCUAAAGUAACCAUUAGUGGUACUAGUGUUACAUUGACAUGUAAGAUAAAAAAAAGGAAAUUGGCCAUGUGGUAUUUUUUUCUUUCCUUUUUUUUCUUCACUUAUUUGUUCAAAACUACAUUGUUUUAGAGUAUUAUUUAAAAGCACCUUUAGUUUUUAUUUUUCAUUUUCAUUCUUUCCUUCUCUCUAGCUCUUUUCUCUCCCUUUGAAUGCAAAUUCUGGCUGUCAAUCACUAGUGGUAUGAAAAUUUAAUAAAAAAAUAAAAAAUUCAUAUUUUUUUGCCUUAUUUCCCAUAAUAAAAAUAGCUUUUUCAAAAUCUAUUUUGAUUUUCCUAGAUUUAAAAUCAUAAACUUGUAAAAAAUAAACUUGUUUCUUUCCACUGCUAUGUUCUUGACUUGAUGUUAAUGAUCAAUGAUUGUGUUUUUAUGUUGUAGGAUUUUGAAUUUACAGAUGAAAAUUUUCAUGAAUUUUUCAACUUGAAAGAUGUUGACUCACCUAUUGAGAGUUCCUCUACGGAUGAGUUGCUUUCCCAACCCCAUGCUGAAGUUUACUUGAACCAAAACAGAAUGGUAGUUAAGUCUUAUUUAAGUUCAUUUUAAAGAUUUCAUCUUUUAUGCGAAAAUGAAUUUUAUUUUAAGAAUAGUUAAAUGAAAGAAAAGUUUCAAAAUUUUGUGGGUGCCAUUGUUGUUGCAGAAGUACUGGGUGGAUAAGAAAUUAAACAAAUACUGCUUCAUGUUGUUUGCAAGAGAUCUUUCAAUCACUUGGGCAGAAAACCACCGUUACUGGCGUUGGUCAUACCAAAGAGAAACAAACAGGUUAGCAUAGAUUUAUUAUCCAUUUAGAAUCUUUACUUCAUAGAUCUAGCUUGACAACUUUUCUAAUCCACAAACUUUUGAUUUUGCAGCGAUGUGUUGAUUGAUGUUGCCGAACUUCUAGAUGUGUGUUGGCUAGAAAUGAAUGUGAAAUUCAACGUAAAAAAGCUCUCACCGAAAACAUUGUAUGGACUUGUGUUCGUGCUUAUGUUGACAAAAGAAGCACGUGGAUGGGAAACUCCAGUGAACUUCGGAUUCACUCUUCCAAAUGGGUACAAGGUUGAACGCAAGGAAACUUUGAAGUCCAAGCCGAGAGGAGUAUGGAUAGAAAUCCCCGUUGGAGAAUUUACAACUUCAUCUGAAAUUGUUGGAGAAUUUGAUAUUUACUGUCACGAAUAUGCUACAGGGAAUUGGAAGAGAGGACUUAUUGUUAAAGGAGUUACUAUUCUGCCAAAGAAUUAAACAACAAAUUAGUAUUUUCUCACAAUAAAUCUGAAAGUACUGUAGUUUUUCUAUUUGUUCAUAAUCUUGCAAAUUCGAAAAUGACAUGAACCUAAAAGGAACAAACUCAUCCAAUUAUCACUUCAACAACCAGUUCUUUGGUCCUCAUUUUAAUGUAUAGGUUCCAUGCUAAAUGCAACAAACAAGGCCAUUGAUUUUUUUGGUAUUUUUUAUAAGAUUUUAUGACCACUAGUGGCUAGUGGUUGGCUGUUGAAAUCUGGGUUUGGGGAUCAAAGUCUAAAACAGAAUGAUUAGAUAGAGAGCAAGAGAGAGAAGGAAAGAAGGAAAAAUGAAAAAAGAGAAAAAUAAAUGUCCUUUAAAUUGUAGGUUUACAAUGAUUGGUUUUGGACAAAAGAGAGAAAAAAGAAAAAGAUAAGCCAUGUGACCAAUUUCUUCUUUUAGUCUAACAUGUCAACAUUAGCAUUUUUUUUUAUAUCAAUUUAACUUUAGUAUCACUAAUAGUUAAUUUGGAUGGAGUUAGACAAAGAGACUCAAUGGUACAAAUUCUGGGUAUACAAGGACUAAAUUAAUCAGUUUUGGAUAAAUGGACUAAAUUGACAAAAAAAAAUCUUUAAUAUAGGGAUCUAUGAGGUACUUUGACCAUUAAUAAAUUUCAAUCAAUCAAAGAGGUGAUGGCUAUGAUCAUGUAAUGUGUAUGUGUAAUUGAGAUUUUUAUUUUCCUUCAAAAAAAUUCAAUAAUGUGGUAUAAAAGAAAUCUAUAAAGAGAAAAAAUAAUUGUUGUCUCCUCAGCAUUUUUUGAAACCUUUUCAGCACUUUGAAGCUUUGUCCAUUAAUUAAUCAGCUUGUUUUAGGCAUGUUCAUAUAGUAACACAAGUCUUUACGUUGUAUAGAACCUUUUGUUCCUUUUUGAACUCCUAUAAUCUUGCGCAAGUUGUGUAUAUAGGGAGAUACAUGCCUAAGCUGCAGGGAUGGUUUUUGUUCACCUGCUUUUUUGUAUAUUGAUUUUGCUUAAGGUAUAAAGAUAUAGAAUUUUAAAAAAAAGAUACAAAAUUGUGGGAUUAGCAAAUUGAUAGCCACAUUUGGAAUAAAAAAGUAGCAAUUAAAAGAAGCAUUUUAUCUUUAAUGAUGAGUAAGCUGUCUUUAGCUUUUUUCUUUUUUAUAUUCUCUCAAUAAUUUCCUACUUUAAAUAGAGAAAAAAAACCACCGUUGACAGGGCAUGAAACACAUGCCACUUUCUUGUUUUUGGUAUAAAGGCUUGAGGGAAUCUUUGUUUAGGUUUUAUAUUUAAAUACACUCUCUCAUUAAGAGGCUAGUAGUUGAUCAUCUUUCUCUUCAUCUACCUAAAUUUCUUUCUUUGUUUGUUUCAGAAAACAAGAUAGAGAUUGUUCUGCUAUGAGGAUAUUCUGUACUUGUUUUUGACAGAAAUUUAGUACCUCCUUAAGUCCUCAACCGUCUUGGUGUUGCAAAAAGGGGGUUGUAGCUAGAAAUUAACAACAAAAAAUAUGCAAGCAAGGCUGUUGAUGUGAAUGAUUUAGCUUAGUUUGGGUUAUACAAGGCACAACAAUUCUUUGAACGUCAAAUACACUUUCCUAUAUUUAAGCUUUUUCUUCAUAAUGUGUAGGAUUGCAGGGCAUUUUAUUCAACUAUAUUUUGGUUAGAUUGUAGGGAAAAAGACAUAAAGGAGAGAAACAUUUUUAGAUAAUGAUUCAAAAUUUAAUUUCAUUAAUAAGUUAAAAAAUUAUAGCAAAUUGUCAAAAAGGUUCAAAAAAAAUUUUUCUGCUCCUUUUAUUCUCUCUUAGCCAGAAGCGAUGUGCAUUCUCGAACUAGUGAGUUGCAAAUAAGUGGCUGCUUUCCUGCAUAUCUUUGAGUUGAAUGACCAUAUACUUAUUUAUUUCGUAUAUUUCGAUAAAUUUAUGUUAAUAUUCAAGUUUUUAAUAUUUAAAUGAAUUUAUAUUUGAUGCAUUAACAAUGUAUAUAAGAUAUAUGUCAGUAUAUCAAAUAUGAAUCCUAUUUAAAUAGAUUAAGAGUACAUAGUUAAGAAUUACAGGGAGUUUAAUUUGAGAUAGUAGCUUUUUGUAUGAAAGAACAAAAAUAAGAUUUUAUUACUUUUUUUAUUUGUUUUUGUUAAUUUUAUUGUGUCAGCUUGAUUUUAUGUCAAUAGACCUAUUAAUUCAUCAUGGUUAGUAAUCAACUGCUUCAAUAACGAUGCUUCCCAAGUUUAAAAGGGAAAAUAGGAGAUUCCAAACUUAAAACCUUCAUGUCCUUGAUGCUUUUCUUAUUUCUCUGUCCCUUUUUAUUUGUUGUUUUAGUUACAAAAUUGUGGAAGUAGAAUCUUGAUUGUUGCAUUUUCAAUAAAAAGUACCAAUUUACAGAAGCAUUUUAUCUUUAAUGAUGAGUAAGUUUUCUUUGGCCUUUUUCCUUUUUUUGAAAGACAAAGAGAAUAGUAUUUCAUAAAAAAAGGUACAUCUUAAUUAAAUUAUUUGAAGGCAAGAAAUUAAGAUUAGCAUCAGUAUUCACUUCCAAAUUCUCACAAUCAUUUCUUUUUUUAAAUAAAAAAAAAUAAUGUUGUUUUUAUCACCCACUCAAUUAAUUAAUCUGAAAUUGUCGUUGUAUUAGUAAAAUGAAUCGUAAUCACAAUAUAUGCGCGAUGUGUUUUCAUUGGGCAAGUAAUUGUUAUAUAACUAAAGCAAAAAUAAAGUAAUUGCUAUAUAGCAUUAUUUUACUUAGAGGGAAAUAUUUAAUUAAAGAAAAAAAAAGUAAUUCCAAACUUAGAACCUUUAUCCUUUUAAAAACCAAUGAAUAGAGUAAUGUUGAUUCUCUAUAAAGUGAUUUGAUUUCAAAAUGCCAAAGGUCCUUGAUGCUUUUCUUCUUUUUUAAACAAAACACUCCCCUUGCUAAACUAAAGUGAGAAUCAAUUAAGUUUGGUACAACUUAUAGAUACAUUUAUGCCACUAGUAAUACUUUGUUUCAGAAUUAUCUUUUCUUUUUAAAAACAAUAAAGAUGAAUUAUAUAUUAAAAAAGAGUAUUCCUUUACAACUUAACAAAAAAGACCCACGACUACAUCAAAGGCAAGCAAUGGGACUUAAAAAUUUGGGUAGACCAGUACUUGCCUAAGGUCCCGCCAACUAGCAUUAAAAAGAAAAUAUUACAAAAGGUAAGAAAACUCACUCUAUACAUAACAAAAGGACCUCCGAAAAAGUGUUCAAUCAAUAUCCCUUAAAAAAAAGGCAGUAUAAACGAAGAAACAUCAGUGGUUCCAUAAAGGUAGCAGCAAGCAUUAUGAUGCACAACAAAAGUCAAUAAAGCAGGGGACAGAAUACCCCACACUAGGUUAAUGUAUAUUCUUCUCCGAGGUUGGCAGAGAGUCAUUGAUCCAAAACAAAUCUGUUGAUCUUGAGACACCUUCUUUGGCUAGGGUGUCAGCUUCUUCAUUAGCAGACCGAAAAAUGUUUUUAAUCACCAACCCAACGUCCUUGGUCAACUUCUUCCACAUACGUUGUCCAAUAAAAAUCACUCAAGUGUCUCGCAUUGCUUGAAAAGGACAAAAAGACUGCCACGUGCUACCUUAUUGGCAAUUGCUACUAGCGUUCUCCACCGCCCGCUUGGUGUCGCCUGUACAGCCAGAACCACAACCACCACCAUUUGCAAUUCUCCUGAGUCUGAAUUCUUAUCACAUUACUACUGUUGGAAAAGUGUUUGACAAACAACUUUCAGCUAGUAAGUUAGACUCACUAUAACCUUUAUUAUCAAAAAUUUUAUACGCAUCGCUUUUGGAUUACAAAGCAUUACAAGGACGAAUUAUAAAGCAUUUUAAUUCUCAUGGUUUUUUUUUUUUUUUUAAAGAGUGAUUUUGGGUUCAACUUUAAGAAAUUGUCUGCCACUUGUUCAUUGUUACAAAACAGGGUCGGAAGAGAAGCAGCUUCAACAUCAUCCACUUGUUCAGUCAACCAAUAAUUAACUGCUGUUUUCAUUAACCAAUUUACAUUUGAGAAACAACAAAAACAAUGGCAAAAGCACUUCUUUCCAUGAUCCUGGAGCAGCAGUUGGGUGGUUCGUUCAUUCCUCAAGAGAUAAAGCAUCAUGUCGGAUUGGCUGUAGGUCUUGAAGAAGAAAUCCAAAAACUCACCAGCAACUUUGACGCCAUUCAAGCUGUGCUUGAAGAUGCGAAAGGAUAAACCAAACAGGGCUUGCCUAACCCAAGGCGCGGAGGAUAAGGCAUACCGAUGUGGAUGCGGCCCAUAUCCCAAGCUGUUUCCCCACAGACCCUCCAACAGUGUCCCAUAACUCUAGUCCUACAUCCACCACGGAAGAAUUACAAGACUCCCAAGGAGCGGAGGACGGCAAUGGAGGCGGCUGGCUCCGAUUCCGAUGGCAGAGAAUUCAAGAACCCACAGGAAAUGUGGAGGGAGCAAAUUGGAGAUGCAGAUGCAGGAGAUAACCAUAAGAAGACUCAGUGGUACCGUGAAGGCGUUGCCUAUUGGGAAGUAAGUCUUUCUUAACUCUGGUUCUUACAUUUGUAUGUGGGUACCAUUACCGAACUCAUAAUAUAGUUAUUGGUUUCUUUGGUUGUGCUAAGAGAAGGGUGUGGAGGCAUCGGUAGAUGGGGUGUUGGGUGGAUUUGGGCAAGUAAAUGAGGCAGAUGUCAAGGGUAGUGAGGUUUUUCUCAAUACCCUUUUGCAUGAAAGAUUCUCGAUGGCGGUGGAAGAAAUCACCAUCUUGUUGCUCUUGGUACUUCUCUGUCUCUCUCUGUGUGCUCAACUUUAUAUUGUUUUUAUGAAGUUAUAUACCCAUAUAUGUUCUGUUGAGGUAGUUUGGUUUAUGUUAUUAUUAUUUUUUUUUUUUACACUAAAAAUCAACCUUAGGUUAUUAUGCGCCAUUAAAUGUGGAAGUGCAAAGUUGGUGAUGGGAUCCUACUUCAUUAGAAUGUAGCAUUGGUGGAAAACCUAAUUAACUAUAAAUUAAACAAAAAACAUAGUGGUGACAGCAGAAAGGGAUGUUGUGAUAGAUGAAAUUUUGAGUUAAAUAUCCGCAAUUAGUGCUUGAAACCGGAAACCAAGAUAACUUGAUAACACAACCAUGAAGAGUUUAUGUCCCAUAAUCCCACCCCAUAAAAGAAAAUAAAUAAAUAAAGAAGAGGAAAGCAUGGAAAUUUGCAUGAAUAUGCAUUUUCUGAAUUAAUUUGCAUGAUAUCUUCACCAAAAAUCAGUCUUAGUAGUGCAAGAAUUAUGUCAUGCAUUAGAGGUGUUGCUUUGAUUUAGAAUGCCAGCGUUAUAGGUGUUGCUCUUAUUUAGAAUGCCAUAAUGCAAUUGAGAAUUGGGUUUACUACAUGCUAUUUUGCUUAAUAAAAAACCAUCUUUAAGCAAUAUUCUUUUUUAAAUUUGGGAAGAAGCUUGCUGGGAGUUCUCUCUGUCUCUUAAGGGUUGUGUGCUUGUGGGGGGUGGGGGAUGGGGCACCCCUGGACCCAAUUUGAGGCCGUUGUGAGUGCUCAGAAUAAAGGAAAGAAAUUUCUGUGUUUAAGAUUGAAAAAUUACUUUCACAUUUCGUCAGCAGCGAAGAUGCUCUAUCUUGCUAAUAUUCUGGAACUUGUUAUCCUUUGAAUGGCAAAAAUUAGAUAUGUCUUCAGUAUGUUUUAUUACUAGGAGAUUGAUUCUUCGACAUGAGUAGGAUCUAUAAUUGCCUAUAUAUGAAGUUGGUCUUAAUACUUGUGAGUUGGUGGACUAUACUGGGGCAACUGACUGAAAUCUUGCGAAGGGGAAUUGUAGGGGAAAUUAUUUAGGAAACUAAGCAGUUGGAGUUUGGCUUUAAUAUAAAGAUAUUUAGAUAACUAAGCAGUAAUGGUUUGGCUUUAAUAUGAAGAUAAUUAAGUGAUUUCCACAAGUUUUAUUUUAAGUAAUAUGAUAUAAGAUGCACUUAAGCACUUGGCUCUAUGAUAGGUGCAUGUAUCCCCUGCUAAAAGAGCUGGGUUUAAAUUACCAUCACCAAAUAAAAUAAAAUAAAACAUGAUAAUUGAUGGUUGUGCCCUCAAACUUUUGCCUUCAUGUGGUUUAUGUUGGUGGAAUCAAAACAAACUCUUUUGAUGAUCUCAGUGCAGAUGAAUCUGGUACAUUUUAGGGCCUAGCAUACUAAAUUAAACUACGUCAUAAUUCUCAAAACACUGCAUUGCUGACCUUUAUUUUAAGUCCAUACAUUUAAGCAGUAGUAAUACCUGCAAAUGGUUCUAAAGCAUACUUGAAAUAUUGCUGGAGUACUGAUCUGUUUGGUAUUUCAUUUUUCUUGAUGUUUUUAAUUCUAAUUGAAAAUCAUAAAUCUAGUUGACAUUCUGAGCUUUUAGUUUCUAUGUUAAUUUAACAUACUGCAGAUUGUGGUUCUAGCAUAGGGAGAAUAACCAAUAAUCUGUUUGGUCAUUUUUCUCUUUCUAUUAGUUUAUUUUCAAUAUUCCUGACAUUUACCAUCUUUUCAAUUAAUUGAUAACAUGGUUCAUAGUGCAUAAUUUUUACUAGCUAAUGAAUUUCUCUGAUGUUUUUGAAUUGAAAGCAAAAUUGGGCGGUGCCUUUUAAAAAAUUCAAGUAGGACAUGAGGAGGGUAUACGUUAAUUUCGAGGUACCUGAACCCUAAGCUUAUAAAAAAUCAAAUACCCAAACCUUAUUAAUUACUUGAAUAAUUUUAAAAAUUACUACUUUAACCUUAACCCUAAUACAUUUUCACUGUUCUAUAAUUAUCCUAAUCUGUUAGAAAACCCCAAUUAGAUAAAAAAAUUAUUAAAAUGUUCUUCAUGAGUACCCAAUUACUCGAACCCAAACCCAUAUCCAUAUACAAUAAUAUUUAUCCUACAUAUUUCAUAUAAUUAACUACUAAUUAAAUUAAUAAAAACACAAAUAAUAAAAUUUAAAUUUAAAUAAUAAAAAAUUAUAAAGUGUGUUUAUAAAUGAACAUAAUAUAUGAUAUAAAUCAAUAUUAUUUUAUUAUUCAGUAAUUAUUAACUUAUAUAAUAGUAAUUAUAUUCUUUAUAAAUAAACAUAAUAUAUAAUAUAAAGUGUAUGUAUUAAAAGACAUUAAAAGUUAUAUACUCUAAAGUGUGUAUAUAUAUAUAUUAUAAUUAAUAAUUUUAUAAGUUAUAAUUUUUGUAAUGUUAACACAAAAUAAAAUGUAAAUAUAUUUAUAUUUAAAGUANNNNNNNNNNNNNNNNNNNNNNNNNNNNNNNNNNNNNNNNNNNNNNNNNNNNNNNNNNNNNNNNNNNNNNNNNNNNNNNNNNNNNNNNNNNNNNNNNNNNNNNNNNNNNNNNNNNNNNNNNNNNNNNNNNNNNNNNNNNNNNNNNNNNNNNNNNNNNNNNNNNNNNNNNNNNNNNNNNNNNNNNNNNNNNNNNNNNNNNNNNNNNNNNNNNNNNNNNNNNNNNNNNNNNNNNNNNNNNNNNNNNNNNNNNNNNNNNAAACAUAUCUCAGAAGUCAGAAAAACAUCACAGCCCCUUCCUUUUCAGCAUCAAAUAGAAAACAGCCCUGCCCCCUCAUCCAAUAAGUACCCAUUCUGUGCAACUCUGGAAGAAGAGCUCAAAUCAUGUGCUCUCAUUCUGCUUUCGUACUCCUGAAAAUACUCACAUGUACAGCAUAUAUUUGUUAAAUCUACAUUGCAUGGUAUAUGUUGUUGUCACCAGUAGAACAGGGAAGAGGCCAUGAAUCCUGCGGAUAAUUGUAUGGAACGUGCAGCGAAGAGGCCAUGGAACAUUAGUCAAUAUUGCAAUUUUGUAGCGUUUUUUCUGAGAUAACCACUCCACAGACUAGGCUCCAACUCAACAAAAGAAAAAAAAUUGCGGAGUCAUAGAUCUCCCAUGUUGGAAUUUUGAUUAGUGAUUUUCUCUUAACCAAUUCAAAACAUGUUAAUUUCUAUAUUUGUUGACCACAUGAGGCUAGGAAAACUUUCACCAAAACGUUCAAGGAAAAAACAGACCAGAAAUGGAAGUUUACCUACUUGAUUGUUCAGAGUGACUCACCUUCCCCAUCAGAAUCAAUUCUCCACCACCAUGAAUUGUCUCUUCCUCCUUCAGACUUUCACUGAUUUCGCAGUUUGCCCCCCUGCUAAGCUGCUGCACUUCGCACUGCUUCCUUGAUUGGGUUGACUAUCGCCAUGCGGAUUAUUAUUUGGACCCUUCUUUUUAAUGGGCUAAAACAUACCAGCUUAAUUCACAUCGGCCAAACCCAACUACAGGAGAGUGGCUGGUGGAUCUCUCCAUGGACCAAGUUAUCAGCAGAAGCCUGCAGGCCUGAUAGGACAGGCGGCCUGGAUAUGAUUUUCUAGGCUCAGGUUCUACAAGGUUUGACCCAAGAAUACUGUUAUUUUUAUUAAUAAAUACUUUAUUUUAUUAUAUUUUAAUUCUAAAAUAUAUUUUCAAAUACUAAUGUAAAAUUAUUUAAUAUAUAUAAUAAUAAAAUAUAUAUAAACGAGUAUUGGAAUUGGGUUUGGGACGGGUACCCACGUAACCUGAAUAUUAACAUAAUCAGGUUCAGGUAGCGGGUACUCAAGAGAUAGUACCUGAAUCCGAUAUGGGUAGUGAAAUCACUAUUCGAACCCGUCUUAAACCCGAUUAUAGAGUAUCAUAGUAUGAGUUGGAGCUAUGAUCUUAAUAAAGCUGCAUAGUACUUUGUGAUAGCUAUGCUUUCUGACCCCUCUUCCGUUUACCAUUCUCCAGGUUGAUCUACUUGAGCCAGUUUCACAUUUCUUAGAUGCUGCCCGUCAAAGUUUGUCUCAGGAAUAUUUUGUAGCCUCUGAUGCGCACAAAGCAAGUAAUUUCUACUGUGUCCCCCUUCAGGUAAUGUAGUUCAAGACUAUAUUCACACAUAGAUACAUGCUUCUUGAUGUGUUGAAGUAUUCAUAACUAUGGUUAAGUCUAUGUAAGCUAUGUAUUUCCAACUUUUCACUUUACCCUUUAUUGCGGAUGUAGCCAUGUAAUUGACACCUCAAGCAGGCAUGUUGUUUGAGUACAAUCCUGGGAAAAACUUACAAAAUUUAAUGUAAACAUGUUAAAUAUGGGUUUGCACCUGGAACUCGCAUUUGAAUCUGGGCAACAUAGUCUGUAUUCUGUAGGCGGCUUUAGUCAUGAAUCAUUAUAGGUAUAGCCUAGAAGAGUUAAUAUGACUGAUAUUAUGGGGAUGGGAUGGGUGGGAAGGAGAUUGGACAUGUGUAGCUUUAGCUUGCAAUGUGAAACUUAGAUGAUUAGACAACCUUUGGAUUCAAGUAAAUUUUUGCAAACAAUUAUUUACUCUUUUGUGUGUGUUGUGGGGGGGGAAGAGGGGAGCAGCAUAUUGGGUAGUGAAUGAGCUCUCUAAGUUGGUGACAUAUGUACUUGUCUUCUUCUGAUGCUUCUGGCUGCUAAAUUUUACUUUAUAAAACAGAAAUUUGACAACCAUAUUUUUUUGUCUUUUUCUUUUUCAGGAGUUCACCCCUGAUGCUGGAAGGUACAAUGUUAUUUGGAUUCAGUGGUGUAUCGGUCAUCUCACAGAUGAUGACUUUGUCUCAUUUUUUAAGAGAGCAAAGGUGAAUAAAUCUUCUUCUUGAGACAGAACUUACUUUUUAUUUGACAUGUUGUGCUGUGUGGAAGUGCAUGGAAAGAUCAAAAUUAUGUAUUGAAAUUUUCUUGCCUGCUGUCUACUAUACAUUCGAAUUGCCUUGUUCUGAUUUUUGAAUUAUGAACUGUCAGAUCAUUGCAAUGGUAUCUCAAAUUUUCCUUUUCCAAAUUUAUUGCUUCUAGCUUUCUCUCUUGUAACUUCUCUUAAACCUUCUUACAGCUAUAGGAAUUAAGGUUGUCUAGAGAACAUAACAUAGCAAACACCAGAAGGAUGAUAUAGUCAAACUCUUUUUUCUUUUUGUCCUUUCUUUUUUUAUUUUAAUUUUUUUUUUUGCAAUGUGUCGUGUUGUUCAUUCUAUUCUUCUUCCUGCUAGGUAAGUAGCGGAUUUGAUGGGUUGGUUUGGAGUGUUUGGGCCCAUCCCUAGCACCACAGAAACAAGGCUUGAUAAUGCUUUACAAUUCAUACAGCUAUUUUGCUAUCAUCCGUUUUCUCACCUUACAAAAGCUUGUGACCAAAUUUUGUUGUGCCUUGUGCAUUGAAAUAAGUUUUAAGAAAUGAUGGUAGUUUGACUUUUGUCCUUUAAGUUUGUAAAUGGUGGGAAAUAAAAUUAAAUCUAGAAAGUGCCAUAUUCAUUUCAUGGCACCUUGAGUCCCUACUCUCCUGCUUCCCUUGCUGCAACCUUUUUUUUUUUCCAGGUGCUGUUGAGCAUAACUUUUUGCUCUGCCUUCAAUGUAUUUUCAUCAAAAUUAAGCAAAACAUAUUAAUAAUAAAAAGCUCCAACAUGGAAAUUCUUGGGCAUGUGUAUGUGUAUGUAGUUUGGAGGCCUGAUCUCUAAGUUGUGUCCUGGAAAGACCCUUGUUGAAAUUUAUUAUUCUUGCAUAUAUGAUUUAAAAGAUUAUAAUUUGCACUUUAAUUUGAUACAGUAAUUAAUUUGUUGAUUCCAGGUAGGCCUUAAACCUGGUGGAUUCUUUGUCCUGAAAGAGAACAUUGCUAGAAACGGUAUUGUCUUUAUGACUCUUUGAUUUUUCUAAGCAUGUUUGUUUGCCCUCCCUCCCUCUCUCCCUCCCCUUUUUAAGAAGUGCUCAAGUUUUGUUUAAUGCAUUCCUCAAACUUUCUUAUGUUUUGGUAUUCUGUGGUAAAUUUUCAUAAAGUUGUGUUUUUCUUUUUUGAAAUGCCGCAUGUCAUCUCACGUAUGAGAAGGCAUAAAGUUGCUUUUUUGAGCUGAUAUUACUUUCUAACUUUGUCUUAUUAUGUAAUUAUCUGGCCCCUCUACAACUUUGAAGUAACAUCAUAGUUAAUAAUAAUUAAAAGAUAAAUGGAUAAAGGAAAUUUUAAGCUCCAUUUUCUCGUUCCAUUGCUUGAUACCAAGGGAAGCAGCAAGUUUUUGUUUUAUGCAUUCCUCAAACUUUCUUAUUUUUUGGUGUCCUGCUGUAAAAUUUUCAUAAAGUUGCUUUCUAGAGCUGAUAUUACUGUUUAAAUUUGUUUUAUUAUGUAUUCAUCUGCCCGCUACUGCUUUGACUUAUUCUAGUUAAUGUUUUAAAUGUUGAAUUAAGGAUAAACGGAUAAAGGAAUAUUUAAGCUCCAUUGUCUUGUUUCAUUGCAUGAUACCAAGGGAAACAGCAAAAAAGUGUUGAAACUUAUAAUUCGCAGGUUCAGGGAUGAGUCUCAUCUGCUCAAAUGGGUAUGGGGUAUAAUUUUACUAUGCUACCAAUUUGGGACACCUUUUGGUAACACUGUCUAUGUACAACUUUCUUCAGUGAAAAUUCAUGAAGGAAAGAUGACCUAGUGAUGUAGUGAGGAAGUAGAAACAAUAACAAGAAACCAAAACAGUGAACAAAACCAGAACAAAGGUUAAAAUUGAUGUAAAAUCAAAGUCGGAACAAGUUACAAGCCAUUAGGACCAAUUGUCGAGCAUCUUAAGGUUAAAUAAACAAGUCACUCCCAUCUGUAAUAGAUUGAUUCAAACCAGCUAGAUAACAAGAAGUCAACUGCUCAUUAGUCUCUUUGAAACCAACACUAGGGAAAGGUUGUUGAAACCUGAAGUGUACUCCUCAAUGGACAUACUAUUUUGCUUGAGUGAAUGAAAUAUCUCAUUCAACUCCAUUUAAUCAGCUGGCAGAAAUUUCCUCAUCUUCAUUUUCAUGUGUUCCCAAGUGUUGAUUUUUGGCUUGCCUUGAUGUGCUUGCCGCUCUUCAACGCUCUUCCACCAUUGAAGUGCAGUCCCUUCAACUUAAGCUUCACAAACAGCACCUUUCUUUGUUCUACCAUUGGUUUCUACUAAAAAUAAUUUUACAAACUCGCUUUCUGGUCUAAAUAAUCUUUUGCAUGCAUCUUUUUCCGGAAGUCAUCUACCUUAAUUCUAACUCCACCACCAUUUAAGUCUAGGCAUGUAACAAUCAGCCUUCCAAUCUACCACAAACAGCAUUAUUUGCUGCUCGAGCAUUAUGAAAAGGGUUUUCAGCCUCUCCAUAUUCAAUUUCAUCCUCAAGACCACCUUCCGGUAAACCGAAAGGGUCAGGAUUGCCUUGCGGAUUCUCCAUUCGGGCUCCCAUUGGUUCCUGUCACUUUAAAGCUUGCUCAGCCUGCAACAAAUCUUCAAUCAUACCCUUAAACUCAGCCGAUUCUGUUUGCUGGUCUUGAUUUCUUUUCCACGUCCACUAACAAGUCCUCUAACACGAUUAGCCAUGGUUUAUAAGCUAAAAUCCUAGUUCAACUUUAAGAUCUGUUCAUCUGAUACCUCUUUGAUGUAGCAUGGAAGUAGAAACAACAAAAACAAAAGAAAAACAAUGAAGAAAACCAGAACAAAGGCUAAAAUUGAUCUUAAGAUCAAAGUAGGAACAAGUUACAGCAGCUUUUAAUUGUAGCCCUUCGAUACAAACAAGCCCAUCUAAUCCUAGCCAUUCAAACUAAUUAAAAAUGAUCACAUGCUGAUCACGACACAUGACUAGAUAGAAAACAUAAUUACAAACUUUUAACUAAAGUAAAACAUAAUAAGAUAACCAAUUGGAGAUAAAUUUAAGAAUGCUCUUGCAUAACCUAGCCCAACAAUUAAACUUGCCUAAGGCUUGACUUAAACUAGGACUCAAGUCUCAUAAUUUGCUUGCAUUCAACUCACAAAAUGCUUGGAUUCAAUCAGUUUAUUGUUGAGUUAUUCUUGAGCUCAAGUGACCAAUCGAGUCUAGUUCAAGUGUUUAUAUUACUCAGUCAAGAUGGUUCAAGAGCGUAAUCAACUUUUAAUUUUUUAAUAUAUUUUAAUAUUCCAUGUAUGUAAUACUCGUAUAACACUGAAAAAUAUAAAGCUCUAUCAAGUCCAGCUUGGAGGUCUCAGACAUAUGUACCCUCCAAAAAAUUGUUCAAGUUGAGCUUCAGGUCUUAGUUUUGUAAUUGAGUCGUGUCAAGUUCAAGGUUGUCAUUUUGUCAACUUGAUUUGGCUCAGUUAUGCACCUAGACUUUAACCAGCUCAAACUGACUAAAAGGUUACUGAAUUGAAAGUUGAGACAGGGACAAUUCAAACACAAAGUAAUCUGGAAUUCCAAAAAUCCAAACUUAACACCUAAAAACCUUUAAAUGACAAGUGGGUAGUUAUACCCCUUUCGCAGUAAUUGCAUAAAUUCACUUAACUUGGCUUGCAUGUGGAGAACUUGUCAGUGGAAUUGUUCAGUGGCAAAAUGAGUUUCACUGAGCUAUCACUUGUUUGCAGGAUUUGUCUUGGAUAAAGAAGAUUGAAGCAUCACCAGAUCUGACUUAUACUUCAAGGCCCUAUUUCGUCGAUGUGGAUUGCACCUGUAUAAAAUAAAGGUACCUUCUAUUGCAUAUUGACCACUUAAUAAGCUGUUGAUAACGCUUUUUUAAACUGAAUAUUCUGUUAGUUUACUCGUAAAUGCUUUUGACAGUUGUUGUUUCAUGAGGCCUAAUCCUAACUAUAUUUUGACUUUGAAAGAAUAUACAAUACAUAAAGCUACACAGGUCUGCUGUGGUAUCUUAAAUGGUGCUCAAAGUUCUUAAUCAGCCCCAACUUCCAUUGUUUUGAUUCUGAAAAGCAAAACCCCCCUCACUGGCUAAAAUAAAGUGGGAAUCAAUUCAGUAUGGUACAAUUUAUAGAUAUGGUACAUUUAUGGCACCGAUGAUACUUUGCUGCAGAGUUACCUAUAUCAUGUAUUCUUUUAUCUUCCCUAUUAUCAAUCACUUUUACAGAGAAAUUAUGGUCUUGAAGUCAAAACUGGAUACUUUAAUAAUUAAAGUUAUAAUCAACCUCAAAAUUGUGUGCUGGGUUAUGGCGGUAAAGGGGUCAACUUGAUGUAAGUUACGCAACUUGGACUCACACCAUAAAACUCAACCAAAUUCCAACAAAGAUUAGUUGCCAACCCAUCCAGUUGUGUCUGUUACACAUAACCUUUGACUUGCAACAUAACAAUCCCAAGAUGACACAUUGAAAACUGAUAAGUUUAUAUAGAUCAUGCACUAAUAGCCUCAUAUGUUGCCAUUGUCUUAACAACUAAGUCUCUAAGCCAACAUUCAAAAAUUUAGAUCUUGAAACGUUAAAAUACAAGGUCUAGCUAAAAAUCCAAUGAUAGGUGCGGGCUUUAUAGGAUGAGAGAGGGCUUCUCCUAUUGUGAAGCCCUCGUUCCAUUGACUUUCAGAUGUGCCCCAAGAGCAUAACAUUAGUGAGAGGCGUUGUGUGAUCUAUGUUGUUUGGUAAGUUUUAGAUAUCAUAUCAUCUUUUGUAUCCUUAUAUUCUUAUUUGAUGUUGCUGAGUUGAAUCGAUAAGGGUGUGAUUUCUAGUUGCAUGUUCAAAGUUUCCAUUAGAAAUAGGGGCAGGUUUGGUUUGCAAUCCCCCUACUUCAUUUUAGGGUUUUCAACUAUCAUAAUGUAUCCUUCCUUUUGUUAUUUAUUUGUUUGUUGUUUUGAAAACAGGACCAGAAAGGACUCCCUGAGGAAUUGUUUGCUGUAAAGAUGUAUGCUUUAACAACUGAAGGGCCAAAGAAGGUUCUCAAGACAAGAUCCAAGGCGCAAGCCAACAGACCUGACAUCAUCAAAUGAUUUGUUGCCUCUACCUUGUUGCAUUGUUGUAGGAGUACUCAAACUUUCUGGUGUAGGAUGUGAUUGUAUCUUCUUCCUAUGUAAUUUGUUAGCGUAUUACCUCAAAUUGUUUUUACUUUACAAGCUCCUUGUGGACUAGUUUUGUUCUUUUUCGUUUGAAGCUGUAUAUUUAUCCCCGGCAUACCUUUGAAGCUGUAUAUGUUCCUAAAUUCAAUUAUUGCUUCCAUAUUUUAAUUUUAUCUUUAAUUUUUUUUUUUUACCUUUCAAACAAAAAUGAAGAGUAAAUUUUACUAUUCCUUUUUACCAAUUCUUUAAUCCUUAGUCUAAUGAUACUUUAGAUGGAUACUUUUGCUCCUAUUCGCAAGACCAGCCCUCACCCUUUUUGUAGUGUUAUUUUCCAAACGGUGCCGUUUGGCACUUUGCUCCUUACAACCCUAACUAUAAAUUCCUCCUUUUCUCUCUCUCUCUCCUUCAUUUUUCCCCUUACUUUCUCUCUCUACCGCCGGCGGCUCUCUCUCAUUUCUCUCUGAACCUUCAGCUCACUUUCUUCUCUCUUUCUCUUUCGCUUGGAAGUAAUGAGAAUCUCCCAAUCCCAAAAGAGGAAAUCAACUUUCUCUCCCGCACACUGCCAGAACCUUCCUUUCGCUCUCACAAAUCAGUCCCCAACCGAACCCAUUUCCUAGAUCUACGUCUUUGUAAACAUUGGAUUUUUGUUUUGAUGCUUUUUGCUUUUCUUUUUUUUUG
rnacentral:lncRNA from 1 species